GACUCAGUGAAAUUGAACUCGCUGUGAAGAUGCAGUGUACCCGCGGCAAGACGGAAAGACCCCGUGAACCUUUACUAUAGCUUGACACUGAACAUUGAGCCUUGAUGUGUAGGAUAGGUGGGAGGCUUUGAAGUGUGGACGCCAGUCUGCAUGGAGCCGACCUUGAAAUACCACCCUUUAAUGUUUGAUGUUCUAACGUGGACCCGUGAUCCGGGUUGCGGACAGUGUCUGGUGGGUAGUUUGACUGGGGCGGUCUCCUCCUAAAGAGUAACGGAGGAGCACGAAGGUUGGCUAAUCCUGGUCGGACAUCAGGAGGUUAGUGCAAUGGCAUAAGCCAGCUUGACUGCGAGCGUGACGGCGCGAGCAGGUGCGAAAGCAGGUCAUAGUGAUCCGGUGGUUCUGAAUGGAAGGGCCAUCGCUCAACGGAUAAAAGGUACUCCGGGGAUAACAGGCUGAUACCGCCCAAGAGUUCAUAUCGACGGCGGUGUUUGGCACCUCGAUGUCGGCUCAUCACAUCCUGGGGCUGAAGUAGGUCCCAAGGGUAUGGCUGUUCGCCAUUUAAAGUGGUACGCGAGCUGGGUUUAGAACGUCGUGAGACAGUUCGGUCCCUAUCUGCCGUGGGCGCUGGAGAACUGAGGGGGGCUGCUCCUAGUACGAGAGGACCGGAGUGGACGCAUCACUGGUGUUCGGGUUGUCAUGCCAAUGGCACUGCCCGGUAGCUAAAUGCGGAAGAGAUAAGUGCUGAAAGCAUCUAAGCACGAAACUUGCCCCGA
rnacentral:rRNA from 1 species